CAGACAUGCUCCGUGCGUUCAGCCGAAAGGUGUACUCGUACGGUUGCAGGCUAGAGUCUGUUCUUGGGGUCGGAUAAGGGUCUUGGGAAUGUGGCCGGUUCGCCGGUGCCGAAAGCGUGCUUAUGGUCAUCGAAAGUGAUUUUCAAAAGGUUAGAACGGGUUAAAUUCGUUAAGGAUGUUGACGUAAUGG
rnacentral:rRNA from 1 species